GAUGAACGCUGGCGGCGUGCCUAAUACAUGCAAGUCGAGCGAACAGAUGAGGAGCUUGCUCCUCUGACGUUAGCGGCGGACGGGUGAGUAACACGUGGAUAACCUACCUAUAAGACUGGGAUAACUUCGGGAAACCGGAGCUAAUACCGGAUAAUAUAUUGAACCGCAUGGUUCAAUAGUGAAAGACGAUUUCGCUGUCACUUAUAGAUGGAUCCGCGCCGCAUUAGCUAGUUGGUAAGGUAACGGCUUACCAAGGCAACGAUGCGUAGCCGACCUGAGAGGGUGAUAGGCCACACUGGAGCUGAGACACGGUCAAGACUCCUACGGGAGGCAGCAGUAGGGAAUGUUCCGCAAUGGGCGAAAGCCUGACGGAGCAACGCCGCGUGAGUGAUGAAGGUCUUCGGAUCGUAAAACUCUGUUAUUAGGGAAGAACAAAUGUGUAAGUAACUAUGCACGUCUUGACGGUACCUAAUCAGAAAGCCACGGCUAACUACGUG
rnacentral:rRNA from 1 species